GAUGAACGCUGGCGGCGUGCCUAAUACAUGCAAGUCGAGCGAACAGACGAGGAGCUUGCUCCGCUGACGUUAGCGGCGGACGGGUGAGUAACACGUGGAUAACCUACCUAUCAGACUGGGAUAACUUCGGGAAACCGGCGCUAAUACCGGAUGAUCUAUUGAACCGCGUGGUGCAAUGGUGAAAGUCGGUUUUGCUGUCACGUAUCGCUGGUUCCGGGCCGCAUUGGCUGGUUGGUAAGUUAACGGCUUACCAAGGCGACGAGGCGUAGCCGACCUGAGAGGGUGAUCGGCCACACGGGAACGGGACCAGGGUCCAGACUCCUACGGGAGGCAGCAGUAGGCAAUGUUCCGCAACGGGCGAAAGCCUGACGGAGCAACGGCGCGCGAGUGAUGAAGGUGUUCCGAUCGUAAAACCCUGUUAUUAGGGAAGAACAAAUGUGUACGUAAAUAUGCACGGAUUGACGGUACCUGAUCAGAAAGCCACGGCUAACUACGUG
rnacentral:rRNA from 1 species